GUAGGGAAUCUUGCGCAAUGGGCGAAAGCCUGACGCAGCCAUGCCGCGUGAAUGAUGAAGGUCUUAGGAUUGUAAAAUUCUUUCACCGGGGACGAUAAUGACGGUACCCGGAGAAGAAGCCCCGGCUAACUUCGUGCCAGCAGCCGCGGUAAUACGAAGGGGGCUAGCGUUGCUCGGAAUUACUGGGCGUAAAGGGCGCGUAGGCGGACAGUUUAGUCAGAGGUGAAAGCCCAGGGCUCAACCUUGGAAUUGCCUUUGAUACUGGCUGUCUUGAGUACGGGAGAGGUGAGUGGAACUCCGAGUGUAGAGGUGAAAUUCGUAGAGAUUCGGAAGAACACCAGUGGCGAAGGCGACUCACUGGCCCGUUACUGACGCUGAGGCGCGAAAGCGUGGGGAGCAAACAGGAUUAGAUACCCGGGUAGUCC
rnacentral:rRNA from 1 species